CCCUUUUCUUUUUUUUGAAAUUAUUUUUCCCAAAAGCUUAAAUGAGGCUUUUUGAAGCUUUUACAAAUCUUUUUAGGGGUUGGAGUAAAAAGAAGAAUUGCUUCCCACAAAAAUCCCUACAAUUUUGUUUUUAUAAGUAAAGCCAAAUUCCAAAUAGAAUUUGAAUCACAAAUUAAAACUAGUUCUAGGUUUUUAAAUAAACCUAUUUUGGAAAUGUUUGUAUAAAAUCAAUUUCUCAAUUUCUAUAGCUUCAAAAAUAUCACAAAAUUACUCUUAAAUCUUCUAACACUUAUUUCAACCUAAUUUGGGCAAUUCAAGAAUUUAGAACCAAGCAUAAUAUUUUUACCAUAUUUAAUUCACAUAAAAUAAAACACAUGAAAUCACACUUGAAUGGAUGACAUGCUCAUGCAAUGUUAUGCUUGAUGACAAUGCUUAUGGAUGAGUUUAUGAGACUAAGUGCAUGCUUAAUACCUAGGGUGUUACACCGACUCCGCCAUCCAAUGAAUCCCAGGACAACUAGAAAAACGGAGAGUCCAGUUCGGAGGACUUAAAAACACUGAACGCCUUGCCAAGAGGUAAACUUGGUAGUUAUCCUUUUCCCUUUCAAUUAUUUCAAAUAGUUUACUUAGUUAGUCAUGUUCAUACUAUCCUAAAAAGAAAAUAAAAAUGAUAAAAAAAUAAGCCCUAUGUGAGUAUACGAGUGGCAUAAAACCCAUAAAUACAUUCACUGUGGUGACAUAAAAAUAAAAUAAAUAUUUCUUUUCCUGCUUUAGAAAAUGGAAAUAUAAAAAUAGGGAGUAAUAGUUAUUGAGGAGACUCAACAUGAUAAAGGCUAGAUAUUUAUGCUAACACUUAAUCAGUUCCACAAAGCUUUGUGGUCUAUUUGAGCUCCACAGAAUUUAAGAAUCAAGAAGACUAGGAGACGAAGGACAUUCUAAUCGCUGUUAGGGUGCUGCCGACUUUCAAAUACACCUUUGCCACCUGCUAGCUACAUCAGAAGAAAUUACGUCAAAAUUCAGCUUGGGGGAGAGCACCCCCAUUUAUCCCGCUAAGUAUUUCUAUCUAUCUUUAUACUUAUAGUAUUUUAAAAUAUAAAUAUACAUAACUAUGAAAAACCAAAUAAAGAUUUUGUGCUUAGAUAUAUAUAUCUUUUGCUAGUUUGAUUAAUAAAUAAAUAAAGUGGCUAUGCUAAACUGAAUCUUAAUAAUAAAACUCUAGCAUGGAUAUAAUGAAUAGUUGCUCUGCCUAAUUUUUAAAUUUUGAAGUUCUCUCAAGUUUAGACAUAACUGUUAUAAUUCAAAGCUUACUCUAAACCUAAACUUGUCGGAAGAAAACUUGAUCUGAAGUCUAAGUUGUUAACGGAUACGAUAUGGGAAGGUUGAGCUGCUGUUUAUCUGUUCCUAGAGAUGCUAGAAUUCUAGAGAAUUUUAUCUUUGAAAAUCUUUAAAAUAAUACAUGAUGAGUUCCUGUAUGAUGAGAGUUUAAAUUCCUACCACAGCCAUAUAUACAUGCUUGCUAGAUUUUGAGCCACAUAUUUACUUUUUACUGCUUAUGAGCAUUGAGUGUGGUCAAGCUGUGUAGACCCUUAGGAGCUUGUAAUGUGGUUAAAUCAAGAUUCAAUUGCGCGUUCACUUACAUAUGCUGCUUCUACUCUCGAAGUACCAUCCACAUAUAUCCACUCAUUUCCAUCUCUAGAACCACCCAAAAAUAUUCUACUCCUAAUCCGGGAGAGAAUAGCCAAAAAAUAUUUCUAUUUUUUCCCUGUGAAAUAAAUGCUCAAGUUAUAUUGUUACAAGCACUUGCUAUAUUAUCUCAAGAGAUGAGUGCUCUAAAAAUAAAAAAUAAAAAAAAGAAAAAAAUACGAGGAAAUAAAAAGGGGCAAGUGUCCGAAACCUCGAAAGAAAAGAAAAAGUGAGACGAGAGGUAAAAAUGGACAAGUGUCCGACAGUAGAAUUAGGGGUACAAGAUACCCACCUGAGAGGAAAGAAAAAGAAAAGAGAGAGCAUCUCAUUCUCCUCACAAAGUUUUAAAAAGCAAGAAAGGUAUGUAUCCCCUCAAAAGAGCAAAAGUAGACUUUCGCCAUUGUUAUCAUCAUCAUCACCAUACACCAUUCAUUCGCCACACAUGCACAUCUUGAUUUGACUUAUUGAUUUGUUUCUUUGGAUCCAUGGUUUGACUAUACAAUAAAUGUCUUGUGAGUAUGUAUACUUUAUCUCCCACCUAUGAGCUCUAGAUAUUAAAGCCUUAUUAGAGUAGGGUCCGAGAAUAGGCAAUGUCACUAUGCCUUAUACCACAAAUACCACAUAUUUUGAGAGAGAAGGCAUAUACCAUCACUGCCUUGGUAAGGAUCCAAAAAUACCACAAAAGAGAGAUUUGAGAGAGUCAAACAAGGAAUCUCUGAGUUUUAUUUGAAAAUCUGCAAAAACUCCAGAGCUAUAGCUGAUCAAGAAUAAGAGACAUGGCACUUGACUAGACCGUCUAUCUUUUAACUACUCAAGACAGAAGAGACGAUUACAAGUCCCAUGGUGAAAGGUAAAAUGAAUAAGUUUUUAAGUCUUGACAAUUUACUCUAACUCAGAGAUGAGACCUUAUUUAAAAGCAUGUGUACCGUCAAUUUUUAAAAGCAUUACAACAACUUCUGAUCCAUCACUGAGUCUAUCCUUGCUCAGGGACGAGCAAGAGGUAAGCUUGGGGAAGUUUGUUGACGGUCCUUAAGUAUCAAAUUUAAUUAUCAAAUAAACAAAGAAAAGGAUCCAAAUGAAAUCAACAUCCAGACUUAGGGUUUUAUCUGACAGAAUUCCACAUGCCGAGUGACCUUCCCAUUUAUUAAUCAAACUAGCAAAAGAUAUAUAUAAGCACAAAAUCUUUAUUUGGUUUUUCAUGGUUAUGUAUAUUUAUAUUUUAAUAUAGUAUAAGUAUAAAGAUAGAUAGAAUACUUAGCAGAUAAAUGGGGGUGCUCUCCCCAAGCUGAAUUUUGACGUAAUUUCUUCUGAUGUAGCUAAUAGGUGGCACAAGUGUAUUUGAAAGUCGGCAGAUCCCUGACAGCGAUUAGAAUGUCCUCCGUCUACUAGUCUUCUUGAUUCUUGAAUUCUGUGGAGCUCAAAUAGACAACAAAUCUUCGUGGAACUGAUUAGGUGUUAGCAUAAAUAUCUAGCCUUUAUCAUGUUGAGCCUCCUCAAUAAAUAUUACUCUCUAUUUUUAUAUUUUCAUUUUAUAAAGGAGAGAAAAUAUUUAUUUUAUAUUUAUGCCACCACAGUGAAUGUACUUAUGGGUUUUAUGCCACUCGUAUACUCACAUGGGGCUUACUAUUUUUAACAUUUUUAUUUUCUUUUUAGGAUAGUAUGAACAUGAUUAACUACACAAACUAUUUUAAAUAAUUGAAAGGAAAAGGAUAACUACCAAGUUUACCUCUUGGCAAGGCGUUCGGUGUUUUUAAGUCCUUCGAACGGGACUCUCCAUUUUCUCAGUCGUCCUAGGAUUCGUUGGGUGGCGUAGUCGGUGCUUCCAGCGGCGCCUCUUCUUUGUGUAUAGUUAUCUUCUCUCUCCACACCUGACUCGGUGCUAUGGUCUCCUCAGGAUAAUUCUGUUCAAGCUAUAUGUCUUCAGACCUUACUACUUCUCCUUCGUAGUCUGCCCAUCCGUCCUUGAUGAUUUGCCU
rnacentral:lncRNA from 1 species